rnacentral:rRNA from 1 species
UACGGAAGGGGCAAGCGUUGUUCGGAAUCAUUGGGCGUAAAGGGCGCGUAGGUGGUUCUGUAUGUCUACCGUGAAAGCGUACGGCUCAACCGUAUUUUGUCGGUAGAAACUGCAGGACUUGAGGCUGGGAGGGGCUGGUGGAAUUCCCUGUGUAGCGGUGAAAUGCGUAGAGAUGGGGGAGAACACCCGUGGCGAAGGCGGCUUUCUGGGACGGUACUGACGCUGAGACGCGAAAGCGUGGGGAGCGAACAGG